UACAGAGGUCCCAAGCGUUGUUCGGAUUCACUGGGCGUAAAGGGUGCGUAGGCGGUCGGGUAAGUCUGACGUGAAAUCUCCGGGCCUAACCCGGAAACUGCGUCGGAUACUAUCCGGCUAGAGGAUUGGAAGGGAGACUGGAAUACUUGGUGUAGCAGUGAAAUGCGUAGAUAUCAAGUGGAACACCAGUGGCGAAGGCGAGUCUCUGGACAAUACCUGACGCUGAGGCACGAAAGCCAGGGGAGCAAACGGG
rnacentral:rRNA from 1 species